UACGGAGGGUGCGAGCGUUGUCCGGAAUCACUGGGCGUAAAGGGCGCAUAGGCGGCGCGAGUAGUCAACGGUGAAAGCCCGGGGCUCAACCCCGGGUCGGCCGUCGAUACUCUCGUGCUUGAGCACUGUAGAGGCAGGUGGAAUUCCGGGUGUAGCGGUGGAAUGCGUAGAGAUCCGGAAGAACACCGGUGGCGAAGGCAGGUCUCUGGGCAUUAACUGACGCUGAGGAGCGAAAGCAUGGGGAGCGAACAGG
rnacentral:rRNA from 1 species